UUAAGCGACUAAGCGUACACGGUGGAUGCCCUGGCAGUCAGAGGCGAUGAAGGACGUGCUAAUCUGCGAAAAGCGUCGGUAAGGUGAUAUGAACCGUUAUAACCGGCGAUGUCCGAAUGGGGAAACCCAGUGCAAUUCGUUGCACUAUCGUUAACUGAAUACAUAGGUUAACGAGGCGAACCGGGGGAACUGAAACAUCUAAGUACCCCGAGGAAAAGAAAUCAACCGAGAUUCCCCCAGUAGCGGCGAGCGAACGGGGAGCAGCCCAGAGUCUGAAUCAGCUUGUGUGUUAGUGGAACGGUCUGGAAAGUCCGACGGUACAGGGUGAUAGUCCCGUACACCAAAAUGCACAGGCUGUGAACUCGAAGAGUAGGGCGGGACACGUGGUAUCCUGUCUGAAUAUGGGGGGACCAUCCUCCAAGGCUAAAUACUCCUGACUGACCGAUAGUGAACCAGUACCGUGAGGGAAAGGCGAAAAGAACCCCGGCGAGGGGAGUGAAAAAGAACCUGAAACCGUGUACGUACAAGCAGUGGGAGCACCUUCGGGUGUGACUGCGUACCUUUUGUAUAAUGGGUCAGCGACUUAUAUUCUGUAGCAAGGUUAACCGUAUAGGGGAGCCGCAGGGAAACCGAGUCUUAACUGGGCGUUAAGUUGCAGGGUAUAGACCCGAAACCCGGUGAUCUAGCCAUGGGCAGGUUGAAGGUUGGGUAACACUAACUGGAGGACCGAACCGACUAAUGUUGAAAAAUUAGCGGAUGACUUGUGGCUGGGGGUGAAAGGCCAAUCAAACCGGGAGAUAGCUGGUUCUCCCCGAAAGCUAUUUAGGUAGCGCCUCGUGAAUUCAUCUUCGGGGGUAGAGCACUGUUUCGGCUAGGGGGUCAUCCCGACUUACCAACCCGAUGCAAACUACGAAUACCGAAGAAUGUUAUCACGGGAGACACACGGCGGGUGCUAACGUCCGUCGUGAAGAGGGAAACAACCCAGACCGCCAGCUAAGGUCCCAAAGUCAUGGUUAAGUGGGAAACGAUGUGGGAAGGCACAGACAGCCAGGAUGUUGGCUUAGAAGCAGCCAUCAUUUAAAGAAAGCGUAAUAGCUCACUGGUCGAGUCGGCCUGCGCGGAAGAUGUAACGGGGCUAAACCAUGCACCGAAGCUGCGGCAGCGACACUAUGUGUUGUUGGGUAGGGGAGCGUUCUGUAAGCCUGCGAAGGUGGCCUGUGAGGGUUGCUGGAGGUAUCAGAAGUGCGAAUGCUGACAUAAGUAACGAUAAAGCGGGUGAAAAGCCCGCUCGCCGGAAGACCAAGGGUUCCUGUCCAACGUUAAUCGGGGCAGGGUGAGUCGACCCCUAAGGCGAGGCCGAAAGGCGUAGUCGAUGGGAAACAGGUUAAUAUUCCUGUACUUGGUGUUACUGCGAAGGGGGGACGGAGAAGGCUAUGUUAGCCGGGCGACGGUUGUCCCGGUUUAAGCAUGUAGGCUGGUUAUCCAGGCAAAUCCGGAUAAUCAAGGCUGAGGUGUGAUGACGAGGCACUACGGUGCUGAAGUAACAAAUGCCCUGCUUCCAGGAAAAGCCUCUAAGCAUCAGGUAACAUUAAAUCGUACCCCAAACCGACACAGGUGGUCAGGUAGAGAAUACCAAGGCGCUUGAGAGAACUCGGGUGAAGGAACUAGGCAAAAUGGUGCCGUAACUUCGGGAGAAGGCACGCUGGUGUGUAGGUGAAGCCCCUGCGGGUGGAGCUGAGACCAGUCGAAGAUACCAGCUGGCUGCAACUGUUUAUUAAAAACACAGCACUGUGCAAACACGAAAGUGGACGUAUACGGUGUGACGCCUGCCCGGUGCCGGAAGGUUAAUUGAUGGGGUUAUCCGUAAGGAGAAGCUCUUGAUCGAAGCCCCGGUAAACGGCGGCCGUAACUAUAACGGUCCUAAGGUAGCGAAAUUCCUUGUCGGGUAAGUUCCGACCUGCACGAAUGGCGUAAUGAUGGCCAGGCUGUCUCCACCCGAGACUCAGUGAAAUUGAACUCGCUGUGAAGAUGCAGUGUACCCGCGGCAAGACGGAAAGACCCCGUGAACCUUUACUAUAGCUUGACACUGAACAUUGAGCCUUGAUGUGUAGGAUAGGUGGGAGGCUUUGAAGCGUGGACGCCAGUCUGCGUGGAGCCAACCUUGAAAUACCACCCUUUAAUGUUUGAUGUUCUAACGUUGGCCCCUGACCGGGGUUGCGGACAGUGUCUGGUGGGUAGUUUGACUGGGGCGGUCUCCUCCCAAAGCGUAACGGAGGAGCACGAAGGUUAGCUAAUCCUGGUCGGACAUCAGGAGGUUAGUGCAAUGGCAUAAGCUAGCUUGACUGCGAGCGUGACGGCGCGAGCAGGUGCGAAAGCAGGUCAUAGUGAUCCGGUGGUUCUGAAUGGAAGGGCCAUCGCUCAACGGAUAAAAGGUACUCCGGGGAUAACAGGCUGAUACCGCCCAAGAGUUCAUAUCGACGGCGGUGUUUGGCACCUCGAUGUCGGCUCAUCACAUCCUGGGGCUGAAGUAGGUCCCAAGGGUAUGGCUGUUCGCCAUUUAAAGUGGUACGCGAGCUGGGUUUAGAACGUCGUGAGACAGUUCGGUCCCUAUCUGCCGUGGGCGCUGGAGAAUUGAGGGGGGCUGCUCCUAGUACGAGAGGACCGGAGUGGACGCAUCACUGGUGUUCGGGUUGUCAUGCCAAUGGCACUGCCCGGUAGCUAAAUGCGGAAGAGAUAAGUGCUGAAAGCAUCUAAGCACGAAACUUGCCCCGAGAUGAGUUCUCCCUGAGACUUUAAGUCUCCUGAAGGAACGUUAAAGACGAUGACGUUGAUAGGCCGGGUGUGUAAGCGCAGCGAUGCGUUGAGCUAACCGGUACUAAUGAACCGUGAGGCUUAACCUU
rnacentral:rRNA from 1 species